UACGGGGGGGGCAAGCGUUGUUCGGAAUUACUGGGCGUAAAGGGCUCGUAGGUGGCCAACUAAGUCAGACGUGAAAUCCCUCGGCUUAACCGGGGAACUGCGUCUGAUACUGGAUGGCUUGAGUUUGGGAGAGGGACGCGGAAUUCCAGGUGUAGCGGUGAAAUGCGUAGAUAUCUGGAGGAACACCGGUGGCGAAGGCGGAUCUCUGGGCCUUACCUGACGCUGAGGCGCGAAAGCUAGGGGAGCAAACAGG
rnacentral:rRNA from 1 species